CUAUCUGAGACGGCCCACUUCUUGUUCAAUGGAUGAUGGCAUUUGAGCAGAUACCAAAAAAGGAUUGGUACAGCAUUCUGGGGGCAGACCCAUCUGCAAGUGUGUCAGACCUAAAACAAAAGUAUCAAAAACUCAUAUUAAUGUAUCAUCCAGAUAAACAAAGUGCAGAUGUGCCAGCAGGAACAGUGGAGGAAUGUAUACAGAAGUUCAUCGAAAUUGAUCAGGCAUGGAAAAUUCUAGGGAAUGAAGAGACAAAAAAAGAGUAUGACCUGCAGCGGCAUGAAGAGGAUCUAAGAAAUAUGGGACCAGUAGAUGCUCAAGUAUAUCUUGAAGAAAUGUGUUGGAACAAAGAUGAUCACUCUUUUUCUCUGAGUUGCCGAUGUGGUGGAAAAUACAGUGUUUCUAAGGAUGAAGCAGAAGAAGUUACCCUGAUUUCUUGUGAUACAUGUUCACUAAUUAUAGAACUCCUUCAUUAUGGCUGAAAUUGUUCACCAAGUGGGAUCCUUUAACUGUGUAUUCAGACAUGUUGAAGAGAGCCAAUUCAAUGCUGUGGCAAAAAGGAGGAGCCAGUGAAAAUAAUCAUCUUUCCUAAGAGUUCCAGAUUUACUGUAACCACGGCAAUAUCUUCAAUGCAUUAUACUUCAAUAAUGACCAUCAGGAACUAGAAGGACCUAUUAUAAAACCAUCAGUUGUAAAAUUAAUGAUGGUGACCUUCUACUGAAUGAAAGACCCUAUCUCCUAUAUUGUCCUAUGUAUUAACUGGUAAAUAACAUAAGUUUACAUUUUUACUCAAUGUCAACCAUAAGAAUAUUUAGAACGUUACCUUAAAAAAAAUGCGCUCUGUGAUAUGAAACAUUUGCCCAUUAAUCUAUUCUGUAUAAACUUAAAAAAUUACCUGCAGCAGUAAUCCUUAAAGUAGCAUUUUACAAGUUAUUUUAUAGUCUUUGUUACCCAAGAAAGUUGAAUUAUUGACCAGACCAAGAUGAUUUACUGGGAAGGAAUUUAUUUUCACUUUUCUUUUUGACUCGCUGUUUAUUACUUGGGUACCUUAUGUGAAGAAAAAUACUCCUACUGGGUUAAAUAAGAAAUGACUGCAAUUUUACAAAAUGUUACAAAUUACUGCUUUUAAAAGACUUUUUUAGAGCAGUUUUAGGUUCACAGCACGAUCAAGAGGAAGGUACAGAGAUUUCUCAGCCAUCUCCUGUCUCCACGCAUGCACAGACUUCCCCACUAUUGACAUCCCCUACCACAGCGGUGUACAUUUGUUAUAUUUGGUGAACACACAUCAACAUCAUAAUCACCUGAGGACCAGAGUUAACUUAGGGUUCACUCUUUGUGCUGUACAUUCUAUGGGUUUGGACAAAUGUAUGACAUGUAUCCAUCGUUAUAGUAUCAGAGAGUAUUUCCAUUGUCCUAAAAACCCUGUGUGAGCCGCCUAUUAUUCAUGUCUCCCCCGCCCACAUCUCCCAUAUUACCUUUUGGAAAAAUGUAUACAAGCAUGUAAAAUCUGAAUUUCACUUUACAUCAGAGCUUAUAUAAUUUUGGAAUGUCUUAUGUAGAAAUAUUUGUCCAAAACAAGUUAAUUAUUUUCAUUUACAUAAACUUUAAAUGUUAAAUCUAUUUGUAGAUACUCUUUCCUGAAAGAGUAUCAGAUGCUAUAAGAUCACUUUUUUCCCCCUACUAUUAGUGGAACUAAGUUAUAGGUUCUAGGGCCAAAAGCAAGACUAAUUCCUAUCUGUAUAAGUGGAUUUAUGUACAGUCAACCUUAUUGUUCAGGUAGAAAAAUGAAUCCAUCUCAGGUCACAGAUAAAAAAAAAAUAGUGUAUUUGGAAAAGCCAUGUGUCAUUAACAUAGUCUCAAGUGCUACUAUGGGAGAAGCUAUAAUAUGGACAUUUUUUAUGUUUAAAUUUCCAUAGUUUCUCCUUAAUAUGUGUUUGUUUCUGAGUUCUAAAAAAUACGUAAUAAACCAAGAUCCAAUAUACAUUCCAUUUCUUCAUGAAGCUCUCCCCAAUCUUGCCUGCCCAUUCCAAAUACUCUUGAUGGUUUAGAGCACUUACUAUAUAAAGUCUGCCUUGCCUGGGUCUCUGGAUUAUAACAUCUUACUAAACUGCUUGGCUUUUGUAUAAGUCUAUUAUUUUAUGACCAAAUAAGCCAAUAGACCGUAAUCGUGUCAUGAUCUUAAUUCUUUACAACACCUAAGUCAAAACUGGAACUCUGAUAGCUGGUGGUAUUUAUUAUUAAUGUAAGUAUAAAUUCUUAUAAAGCACAAUCACUUUUGUCUGAUUUUUGAAUUCUUCCAAAUUAGCGAAAUAAAGUGAUGAAGUGUUAUCUCUGGUAUAAUAAAAUUAACCAGUACAGAACGGAAUCUGGAACAUAUUACCAGAAGCCUUUGGAAGAGUGUGACUCAGGCUAUCUUGACCUAGUCCUUGAUUGCAACGGGUGGAACAUAAAGGAGGAAACAGUAGUGCAAGCCAGUAUAUAUACAUGGUGUUCUGAUUAAAAAAAAAAAAAACAACACUCAUUUGAUCCUUAAAACUGUGAAGUAUUAUUAUUGAUAGUUAACAGAAGUAGGUUCAAAUAUGGGGCAUGCUAAUUCCCAUUUAUCUGAAGCCUAUACAUUCUAAUACCCAUGCAUCCAUUUAUAGUAAAGGAAAUAUCCUCUACCUCUCAGACUUGGUGCUUGAUAGUACACAAAUCAAGGAAACAGCCUCAUCAUCAAUGGGACCUUUAAUAAGAGCUUCUCUAUAAACAGGAAAACCUCAAGUUGGAUCUUUUAAAUCAAAGCAGUCACUUUUGCUGACCUACCUGUCAAUUACUCAGUGUCCAGUAAAAAAUACAUGAUGAUGAAAUUAUUCCGCUUAUUUUUGGUAUAGAGUAAGAGUGUACACUUUAAAAAUCAGUUUUUUAGAGGUAUACUUUAUAUAGUGUAAAAAGCACUCAUUUCAGGUUUGACACUAGUUUUGGAAAUGUGCAUACCUACAUAACUGCUAAUUACAAUCAAGAUGUAGAACAUUUUCAUCAUCCAAAAAGUUCCCUCCUAUGCCAGUCAACCUCCCAUCCCUAUACCUGGUACCAGGCAACUAGUGAGAUCUGUUACCAGAAACUAGUUUUACCUGCUCAUAAAUUUAAUAUAAGUAAGAUUGUACUAUACAUAUUUAUUUUGUGUCUGGCUUUUGUUCAUUUUUUUAUGAUUAAUCCAGUUGUAUGUAUUAGUCAUUCAUCCCUUUUUAUUUCUAAGUAGUAUUCUAUUGUAAAUUACAAUGUUUGCCCAUGAAUCUGUUGAUGGAUAUCUUUCUUUGCAGUUUGGGGCUGUUAAGAAUAAAGCACUCUGAACAUUAAUAUGUAAGUUCAUUUCUUUUCAGUAAAUACCAAGGGGUAAAAUUUCUAGGCCAUAAGUAUAUGCCUACCCUUAAACUUUUCCAAAAUAAUUAAAUCAUUUUUAUACUCGCAGCAGAAAUGUAUGAGUAUUCCUGUUGCUCCACAACCUUGGUAUUUUCCUUUUUAAAAAAUUUCUGCACUUCUAGUAAACUGUUGGUGUCACAUUGUGGUUUUCAUUUGCAGUUCUCUGAUGAACAUUUUUUUUCUUGUGCUUAUUGUAUCUUUUGUGAAGUGUCUAUUAAAAUAUUUUUCCUUAUUUUUAAAAUGGGUUGUUUUCUUACUCAUUUUAAGAAUCCUUUAUUUACCUUGAGUAUAAGUCCUGUGACAGGUAUUACA